rnacentral:lncRNA from 1 species
AAAUAAGCCCUCCACGACAUGCAUGAUGUAGUUUCAUCGAAGACUAGGUUUCAAAUCUCAGUAGAGGUAAAAUAUCUUAGAGAUAUCUUCUCAUCUGUUUGAGCCUUGUUGGACAGAAUUGCUCUGUAAAUGUACUGAUGGGAGGAUGCAGGUACCCAUGGAUUAGUCGAGGUAUACGCAAGUUGCCCCGUAUAGAGUAGUUAUUAAAAGAGAAAAGGUUACCAUUUGAAGGCCGGAAGGUGUUGGCAGCAUGUAUACGGUCAAAAUCGGGCUUGCCCUUUCUGUGCGACUGAUCGAGGCUGGAACAUGAUAAGUCGAGGAUCAACUUCGAUUCAUAUGGUGCAGAGUUAGGUUGUCAAGCUCGAAACCCUGAGACCGGUUAAGAUCGAGACCGACCAAAAGCGAGACCGACCAAGAUCAAGACCAAAUAAGUUGGAGUUCGAGGGAAGCUUACGGGGUCGAAUAACGGAAAGACAAAAUAUCCGCAAUCGGGCAAAGAUCACGGCGCAAAUCCCGGCACAUAUCAAGAAGAGCCCGAUUAAUUAGCCAAUCGUGAGAUUUCUUACUGUAUUUAGACUUAUAUCAACAGCAAGACUACCCUACUAUAUAAAGGGGUCU